UACGUAGGCAGCGAGCGUUGUUCGGAAUUACUGGGCGUAAAGGGCUCGUAGGUGGCCAACUAAGUCAGACGUGAAAUCCCUCGGCUUAACCGGGGAACUGCGUCUGAUACUGGAUGGCUUGAGUUCGGGAGAGGGAUGCGGAAUUCCAGGUGUAGCGGUGAAAUGCGUAGAUAUCUGGAAGAACACCGGUGGCGAAGGCGGCCUGCUGGGCAGUAGCUGACGCUGAUGCGCGACAGCGUGGGGAGCAAACAGG
rnacentral:rRNA from 1 species